CCUACGGGUGGCAGCAGUGAGGAAUAUUGGUCAAUGGCCGGAAGGCUGAACCAGCCAUGCCGCGUGAAGGUCAGUGCCCUAUGGGCGUUAAACUUCUUUUGUGCGGGAGCAAUAAUGGUCACGUGUGGCCAGACGAGAGUACCGUACGAAUAAGCAUCGGCUCACUCCGUGCCAACAGCCGCGGUAAUACGGGGGAUGCAAGGGUUAUCCGGCUUUAUUGGGUUUAAAGGGUGCGUGGGCGGGGAGGUAAGUCAGCGGUGAAAUGCCACGGUCCAACGGGGUGAAGUGCCAUUGAUACUGGCUUGCUGGAAUGCGGAUGACGUGGGAGGAAUGUGUGGUGUAGCGGUGAAAUGCAUAGAUAUCACACAGAACACCGAUUGCGAAGGCAUCUCACGAAUCCGCGAUUGACGCUGAUGCACGAAAGCGUGGGUAUCAAACAGGAUUAGAUACCCUGGUAGUC
rnacentral:rRNA from 1 species